rnacentral:miRNA from 1 species
CUGUUGAUUCUCUUUUCUUGGUU